AGCAGCCGCGGUAAUUCCAGCUCCAAUAGCGUAUAUUAAAGUUGUUGCAGUUAAAAAGCUCGUAGUUGAAUUUCGGGAUUGACGUGAUGGUCGUGCCUUAAGGGGUAUGAACUGUUGCUGUUGAUUUCUCACCUUCUGGAGAAACUUGAUGUCCUUAAUUGGGUGUCUUGCGGAUCCAGGACCUUUACCUUGAAAAAAUUAGAGUGUUUAAAGCAGGCAUUUUUGCUCGAAUACAUUAGCAUGGAAUAAUAGAAUAGGACGGCAUGGUUCUAUUUUGUUGGUUUCUAGGAUCACCGUAAUGAUUAAUAGGGAUAGUUGGGGGCAUUAGUAUUCAAUUGUCAGAGGUGAAAUUCUUGGAUUUAUUGAAGACUAACUACUGCGAAAGCAUUUGCCAAGGAUGUUUUCAUUAAUCAAGAACGAAAGUUAGGGGAUCGAAGACGAUCAGAUACCGUCGUAGUCUUAACCAUAAACUAUGCCGACUAGGAAUCAGU
rnacentral:misc_RNA from 1 species